UACAGAGGUCCCAAGCGUUGUUCGGAUUCAUUGGGCGUAAAGGGUGCGUAGGCGGCGCGGUAAGUCGGGUGUGAAAUCUCGGAGCUUAACUCCGAAACUGCAUUCGAUACUGCCGUGCUUGAGGACUGGAGAGGAGACUGGAAUUUACGGUGUAGCGGUGAAAUGCGUAGAUAUCGUAAGGAAGACCAGUGGCGAAGGCGGGUCUCUGGGCAGUAACUGACGCUGAGGAGCGAAAGCGUGGGGAGCGAACAGG
rnacentral:rRNA from 1 species